rnacentral:rRNA from 1 species
UACGGGGGGGGCAAGCGUUGUUCGGAAUUACUGGGCGUAAAGGGCUCGUAGGCGACCAACUAAGUCGGAUGUGAAAUCCCCGGGCUUAACCUGGGAACUGCAUUGGUGACUGGCAGGCUUUGAGUGUGGCAGAGGGAGGUAGAAUUCCACGUGUAGCAGUGAAAUGCGUAGAGAUGUGGAGGAAUACCGAUGGCGAAGGCAGCCUCCUGGGCCAACACUGACGCUCAUGCACGAAAGCGUGGGGAGCAAACAGG